UCCUCAAAAUCCUUAGACUCAUCAAACGCCUCCAUCACUGGUGCCGCCUCCACGACCUCCAUGACCGCGAUCCUCCUUAGGGCGGCAGCCUCCAGCUGCAGGUGGUGGAAGCACCUGGAGGUGGUGGUGAUGGCGAUGAUGAUGCCGUUGACGAUGACAAAGUGGCAUGGAGGCCUGAAGCAUGAGAGGAGCGCCGCCAGAGUGUCAGCGGAGGUUGAUGGGACAAAGGCUCGGAGGGCGACGGCGGUAAUGGACACCGCCGACACGAGCAGGGCUUUCAGGGACGCCAUCAGAGCGCUUGACGACUCCAACUCGACAAUGAUGGUUUAGCAGUGGAAUUUGAGAGUGCGAGCUUUGCGAAGUGAAGUUUCGGUGCUG
rnacentral:lncRNA from 1 species